rnacentral:tRNA from 1 species
CCCCAUGUGGCUCAGUUGGUAGAGCAUGGUGUUUGCAACGCCAGGGUUGUGGGUUCGAUUCCCAUGGGGG